AUAGCGUAUAUUAAAGUUGUUGCAGUUAAAAAGCUCGUAGUUGAACUUCAGACCUGGCCGGGCGGUCCGCCUUACGGUGUGUACUGUCUGGCUGGGCCUUACCUCUUGGUGAACCGGCGUGCCCUUUAUUGGUGUGCGUCGGGGAACUAGGACGAUUACCUUGAGAAAAUUAGAGUGUUCAAAGCAGGCACAUGCCUGAAUACAUUAGCAUGGAAUAACAAAGUAGGACGUGCGGUUCUAUUUUGUUGGUUUCUAGAGUCGCCGUAAUGAUUAAUAGGGAUAGUUGGGGGCAUUGGUAUUGAGUCGCUAGAGGUGAAAUUCUUGGAUUGACUCAAGACCGACUACUG
rnacentral:rRNA from 1 species